GAACUUUCCAACUGCCAGAAUCCCAGGAAUAGAAUGGAUUGCCCCAGGAAAGUGUGAGCUCCCCAUCAGCUGAGAUGCAUCAGCAGAGGCCCGUCGAUCAGUUGGAUGCUGUGAGGGAGACUCAAGAAGAGGAAAUGUUGGGUCGGUUCUCAUAAAUAUUGGAUUUGUGAGGAAAGAGGAAGAAACAGCUAGUGUGGAAUCUGAUCAUUUCCAAAGUCUGGUUCCCAGGAAAGACACCUUGAUAAUUGUUCUACUGUUAGAAGACAGCUUCAAGGCUUCCGGCCCUGGGAGAUGGAAGUGGUCCAGCCAUAGGACCUGGACAGGUGCUGUUGAAAAUUGCCUGGUGGACAAGCAGUAUCAGUCAGGAUGGGCCAAGCUGCGCUGCAAUAACAAACAACCCCCCGAUCUUGGAGGCUGAGUCCAGCGAAGAUGUCUGUCUCACCUACACUACAAGGGCCAUGUAGCCUGCCAGGGCGUGCUUGGCUCAUUAGAGUCACCCAGGGACACAGAAUAAUGGAAGCUCCUUCACGACACUUGCUUCCACCAGUACCACAACAGGAUCAGAGGUCUGUCGGCAGUAGCUUUAAAGAGGAUCCAUCCUCAGAAGGAGACAGCUCCCGGGAAUGUUGUUUGAGUCCCUGGAUCCAGCCUUGCCUAAAGCGGAAUCUACCUAUGGACUUUUCAGUCACAUGAGCCAAUAAAUACGCUUUUGUUUUGAAGCCAC
rnacentral:lncRNA from 1 species